UGCCUGUUGCCGGGUUAGAGUCUAAGGUACCUCAGAGUCAUGGCAGGCCUGUGCUGCUGCGGGGUCCAGUGAGAGAUGUAUUAAGAACCAGGUACAUGUCGUGAGGCUACCUGGGGGAGUGGAUCGGGCAUCAUGGCACCUGCACACCGCCGGGGAAGCCACGCUUUGAUUGUCUCCUUUCACUGAAACCUGGAAAAAGUUCAGCUAAUACGCCAAAUUCGUUUCAUUUAGCUCCUACGUUAAGCAUGCAGGUCCUUCGAAAAUGGGUACUACUGAGCAAACACAUGUUAUGCAUAAUCACUGAAUGUCAGAAUGUCAAGUCAGCUCACAAUAAAACAGU